rnacentral:rRNA from 1 species
UACGGGGGGGGCAAGCGUUGUUCGGAAUUACUGGGCGUAAAGGGCUCGUAGGCGGCCAACUAAGUCAGACGUGAAAUCCCUCGGCUUAACCCGGGAACUGCGUCCGAUACUGGGAGGCUUGAAUCCGGGAGAGGGAUGUGGAAUUCCAGGUGUAGCGGUGAAAUGCGUAGAUAUCUGGAGGAACACCGGUGGCGAAGGCGGCAUCCUGGACCGGUAUUGACGCUGAGGCGCGAAAGCUAGGGGAGCAAACGGG